rnacentral:snoRNA from 10 species
UGGAGGCUGAGAAGGUGAGGCAGCUCAGUACCAUGCUGCUUUUCAUUGGUUAAGACCUCCGAGAGCAAAGGCAGCCAAGGCAGAGCACGCCCCUCUGCUACCUUCAGAAGGGCAGCGCUGUGUUGGCUGACAUCUG